CCGCCCAGCUGAGCCACGGUUCCCAGCCCCCUGCUCCCAGAACCACAGGGAAGGGAAGCUCAGGGUGGAGGGGGGUUGGGGGCAACGAGAGCCCUCAGGUACGUCCAGGCUUGGUCCCUCUCCAGCUAUGAGCCCUCGGGACACUCUAUCUGCUUUGGGCUUCGGUUUCCAGCUCUGUAAAAUGGGUGGAUAACAGAAGCUGCCCCCACCAGCAGCCGGGAGGACUCGCUGAGUUAAAGAGCACCAGGUCUGGGUGGACCCUCCCUCUAACUCUUGGGACAGGCACCUGGAGGCCAUCCCAUCUCCCAGCCCCCCAUGCCGGUGCUGACGGCAGGUGCUCAUUCCCCUGGAUAUCCCAAGAGGGGCAAAGAAAUGCACUGUCACGGAGAGCUGGCAGAGAAGGGGUUCCUCUCCUUGCAAAGGGGGUGGGCAGAAAAGCCAGAAGGCUGCCCAGGGAAGGUUGAAGACACUGGCCAGUGCUCAGGAAUGAAGCUGCUGCCGGCGGGCAGGGUGAGUGCGUGGGAGGCGGUCAGAGCCAGGUGGACACGCAGGCUCCAGGCAGGCAGUGCUGAAGGGCACACGGCCUGCUGCCAGCAUCCUGGGCACACCAGACUCCCAGCAUCUCUACAAGGGGUUCCUCCUUAUUUUCCAAACAGGCAACUCAGAUCCUCUGAGCUGACCCAGAGGCUGUGUGCAGUGUCCGAGGGCGGGAGUGCUCAUCCUGUCUCCUGCCUGCACCAUCCUCCCCAGUCUCCUCCCUCACCGACCCCCACGGGAGUCAGGACGCCUCAUCCCCUCCUCCCUGUCUUUUUAAAUGCUCGGCACUAA
rnacentral:lncRNA from 1 species